rnacentral:tRNA from 1 species
CAAAAAAUAGUUUAAAUAAAAUUUUAACUUUGGAGGUUAAAGAUGAGGCUACUCUUUUUUGA